AGAGACUCCUCAUAGCUCCCUAGGCCCUAACACCAUGUGAGGACACAGAGAGAAGUCAGCCCUCUGCAGCCCAGAAGAGGGCCCUCACCAGAGCCCAACCACGCUGGCACACCAGUCUUGAACGUCCAGCCUCCAGAACUACAUCUGAGCAUCUCUUCCCAAAGGGUAAAAAGUGAUCGCUGAGUCAGCCCAAGUUGGUGCAGAGAUGAUGGAUCUGGCUCUAAAGACCGCAGCAAGCACAGCCGUGCGGCUUCCACAUAUUUUUAUAAUUUAUGACUUCAGCAUCAAAUUUGUUUCUUGAAAAAAGAAAAUGAUUCUUUCAAGCCAAAGAAAUUGAAUUCCAAGAUUUUACUAAUAAAAGAUAAUGCAAAAAAUAAAGCAAUCUUUUAAAAUA